rnacentral:rRNA from 1 species
CUUUUAUGGAGAGUUUGAUCCUGGCUCAGAGUGAACGCUGGCGGCGUGCCUAAUACAUGCAAGUCGAACGAUGAAGCUUCUAGCUUGCUAGAGUGCUGAUUAGUGGCGCACGGGUGAGUAACGCAUAGGUCAUGUGCCUCUUAGUUUGGGAUAGCCAUUGGAAACGAUGAUUAAUACCAGAUACUCCCUACGGGGGAAAGAUUUAUCGCUAAGAGAUCAGCCUAUGUCCUAUCAGCUUGUUGGUAAGGUAAUGGCUUACCAAGGCUAUGACGGGUAUCCGGCCUGAGAGGGUGAACGGACACACUGGAACUGAGACACGGUCCAGACUCCUACGGGAGGCAGCAGUAGGGAAUAUUGCUCAAUGGGGGAAACCCUGAAGCAGCAACGCCGCGUGGAGGAUGAAGGUUUUAGGAUUGUAAACUCCUUUUGUUAGAGAAGAUAAUGACGGUAUCUAACGAAUAAGCACCGGCUAACUCCGUGCCAGCAGCCGCGGUAAUACGGAGGGUGCAAGCGUUACUCGGAAUCACUGGGCGUAAAGAGCGCGUAGGCGGGAUAGUCAGUCAGGUGUGAAAUCCUAUGGCUUAACCAUAGAACUGCAUUUGAAACUACUAUUCUAGAGUGUGGGAGAGGUAGGUGGAAUUCUUGGUGUAGGGGUAAAAUCCGUAGAGAUCAAGAGGAAUACUCAUUGCGAAGGCGACCUGCUGGAACAUUACUGACGCUGAUUGCGCGAAAGCGUGGGGAGCAAACAGGAUUAGAUACCCUGGUAGUCCACGCCCUAAACGAUGGAUGCUAGUUGUUGGAGGGCUUAGUCUCUCCAGUAAUGCAGCUAACGCAUUAAGCAUCCCGCCUGGGGAGUACGGUCGCAAGAUUAAAACUCAAAGGAAUAGACGGGGACCCGCACAAGCGGUGGAGCAUGUGGUUUAAUUCGAAGAUACACGAAGAACCUUACCUAGGCUUGACAUUGAGAGAAUCCGCUAGAAAUAGUGGAGUGUCUGGCUUGCUAGACCUUGAAAACAGGUGCUGCACGGCUGUCGUCAGCUCGUGUCGUGAGAUGUUGGGUUAAGUCCCGCAACGAGCGCAACCCCCUUUCUUAGUUGCUAACAGGUCAUGCUGAGAACUCUAAGGAUACUGCCUCCGUAAGGAGGAGGAAGGUGGGGACGACGUCAAGUCAUCAUGGCCCUUACGCCUAGGGCUACACACGUGCUACAAUGGGGUGCACAAAGAGAAGCAAUACUGCGAAGUGGAGCCAAUCUUCAAAACACCUCUCAGUUCGGAUUGUAGGCUGCAACUCGCCUGCAUGAAGCUGGAAUCGCUAGUAAUCGCAAAUCAGCCAUGUUGCGGUGAAUACGUUCCCGGGUCUUGUACUCACCGCCCGUCACACCAUGGGAGUUGUGUUUGCCUUAAGUCAGGAUGCUAAAUUGGCUACUGCCCACGGCACACACAGCGACUGGGGUGAAGUCGUAACAAGGUAACCGUAGGUGAACCUGCGGUUGGAUCACCUCCUUUCU